GUAGUCGUCUAUAUGUACCCUGUAGAACCGAAUUUGUGUCCAAAACAUCAAAAUCGCAAAUACGUCUCUACAGGAAUACAUGGGCGACGUAA